GACGUCCAUCAAGAAGGAUCCAAUAAGCAAUUGAGAGCGCAAACGAAGCGGCAGGUUAAUCCAAAAAUCCAUGGCUGAGACAAGAAACGAAGAGAUAUCUAUCUCAAUUUGUCCAUAUACAUCACAUUCAAUUGGCACAUGAGGCAACCUCUGUUCAGAUUUUCCUUCAUUGGCAAUCCAAAGCGCCAUCUUGAGAAAUAUGAAGCUGCAUAAUUUAUAGCAUCACUAAAGAAUCUUAUACUUUGCCGUUUAUGUUUUAGGAUUUUCCCCAGGCGAUAAGCUUGUGAAGUUUGCGUUCUUUUAGAAUGGGAGUGUUAGGAAUACUUGUCUCACAUGAGAAAUCUAUAAAAUG
rnacentral:misc_RNA from 1 species